rnacentral:rRNA from 1 species
AUUGAACGCUGGCGGAAUGCUUUACACAUGCAAGUCGAACGGCAGCACGGACUUCGGUCUGGUGGCGAGUGGCGAGCGGGUGAGUAAUAUAUCGGAACGUGCCCAGUCGUGGGGGAUAACGUAGUGAAAAUUACGCUAAUACCGCAUACGAUCUACGGAUGAAAGCGGGGGAUCGCAAGACCUCGCGCGAUUGGAGCGGCCGAUAUCAGAUUAUGGUAGUUGGUGAGGUAAAGGCUCACCAAGCCGACGAUCUGUAGCUGGUCUGAGAGGACGACCGGCGACACUGGGACUAGGACGCGGCCCAGACUCCGACGGGAGGCAGCAGUGGGGAAUUUUGGACAAUGGACGCAAGUCUGAUCCAGCCAUUCCGCGUGCAGGACGAAGGCCUUCGGGUUGUAAACUGCUUUUGUACAGAACGAAAAGGUCUCUAUUAAUACUGGGGGCUCAUGACGGUACUGUAAGAAUAAGCACCGGCUAACUACGUGCCAGCCGCCGCAGUAA